CGUUCCUUGGCUUGUGGCCCCUUCCUCCAAUUCAAAGCGAGCAACGGCCUGAGCAAUGGUCUUUCGCACAUUGUGUCACGUCACUCUGGCCUCUGACCCUCCUGCCUUCCUCUUUUUACGCAUAAGGCCCCUGGAUUACAUUGGCGCCACCCAGAUAAACCCACGUUUACUUCCCCAUCUCAAGCCCUGAGCCCUCUGCAAAGCCUGCCCCACCGCUCCAUGUAAAGCGAUGGUGAAGUUAAAAUAGAUUUUGGGCUCCUGCCACUGCUUUCUGCUUCUCUGUUGAGUUUGUUUCUCGGACAACAAGGCAAAGUUUGAAGCCCAUCCAGGGACAAACUUCCAUCUGCCCCCUGCAAGUUCCAGUAAGAGACUCUGGGAUCCCUGACAUCAGGGACUGACUCCUUCACUGUGGUGUCCAAAUUCCUGGCACCCAGUAGUGAAUGGGGAAACUGAGGCCCAGGCAGGUGAAGUCACCUGCCCAAGUGUGGUUUCGUAGCCUUCCCUGACACGAAUGUGGGAGAGACCAAGGAAGACCAUCCUCGCCGUCUCUGGGCUCAGCUGCCCGUCGUGGCCUCACAGGUACCAGCCAUUCUCAACGUGGCUGCUGUUUUUAAUCAGCUCUUCUGGGAGAAGAGACGCAGUUGCCUGGUGACUAAAGUGUUCCCUACCCUCAGAAAGUCACGCUGUGUGCUGUGUGCUGGGAGGAUAAAGACACCACACAGGGUGCCCCUCGUCCAGAGCUCCAGACAACAGAUCCAAUCAGCCCAGUCAGACCCCAUGCAAAGCUCCAGGCUUCCUUGGUGACGCCAACAGCGCUAUGGGUAGGAUUGAAUUAAA